AUGUCGAGCUCCACUUCAGCCUCCCGCCCCUCGUGGACCCAAUAUGGUCCACUUCCCAUGGAGCGAUGUCCUGACUACCCACGUAGCGCACCACUGGUAUGGUUAACUUCGAAGGAGGUCAAGAAUGGCAACUAUGGGAGUGAGUUCGUGAAAUGCGAGAGCAAGCCAGAGGGGCAGAUCGUGAAGAAAUGCACACAUUUUGAAUGGAUGGAUGACUAUGUUAAGCGGAUUCAAUUCAAUGAGUCCCCAACCCGGGAGCUCAAUUUGCCGUCAGCACCAAUGAAUUUGGUCUCUGAAAGUGCUGCUCUAACAGUUGGGGAUGCAGAUCUGAAGGGGGAAUUAAAUAAGAUGAACAAGAACUUGAAGAAGAUGAUUCAAUUGAACAAGCAGGUGAAUCUAAUAGCUUUAGGAUUUUAUUUUUGUAUAGUUGCUCUAGGAAUUGCUUACUUGCUA
rnacentral:rRNA from 1 species